AUUUUUUUUUUCUUUUUUGUUAUCCCCCAGAAAAGAAACAGAAAUCAAAACUACCGCUGUCAGAGUUUUCAGGCUUUCAGUUGGGGUGGUUUUUUUUUGUUGUUGUUGUUGGGUUGGUUUUUCUUGGUUUUGUUGUUUGGUUGUUGCAUUUGGAUUUUUUUUUUUUUCUAUAGAACUUGUAAAGUUUUGGACCUACCCUGUGUGUGUGUGUGUGUGAGUGUGUGUGUGUGCCCAGGCUCUAUCUGUCAAAGGGAGAGGGGCAGGAGCGUUUGCUUUGCAGCAGUGAACGCUCCCUGAAACUCACUCCAUCUCCAAGAAAGAUGCUGUAGCUUUAAAGAUGCUUUGACUUGAGGAUUAGUUUAAACAGGGGGCUAUAAAAGAUGUAACAGAUGCAAACUGUAAAACAAGGGCAAUUAACCCUUGCUCUCCUGAGCAGGAUCCCCCCCCCUCCCCUCUUCGCCUUCGCAUCUAUUGUCUUCUCCUGCACUGGGAGUUUUACACAAAAACCUAAAAAAAAUCAUUACCUGCCUCAACAAUACUACAAAAAACAUAAAAAUAUAUAGCAAAAAAGUGGGCUUUCUCCUCUCCUCUUUUUUUUUUUUUCCCUCCCCUUAUGUCUUUUUACUUUGCUGGAGCUUCACACCAGGACUGACCAGUGAAGUGUGCUGCUGCUGGGGCUUUUUUUAUUCCGCCUGAACUCUUCUUUCCAGGCGUUUGCGGUUAUCAAACCUGCUUGGCUUAAAAUAAAUCUGCGAGCAGAAAGACCAAGUCCCCCUUUCCUAGCGCUAAAACUUUUCCUGCUGCUUUGGGGAAAAAAAGGCACCUCCCGUACCUGGCUGACAGUUUUGGCCAGAAAUGGUGAGAAGAAAAAGCAUGAAGAAGCCGCGAAGUGGAGGAGAAAAGGUGAAGGGAGAUGCAGCUCCUGGAGAAAUUGUAAAAAAAGCCUUGCAAAAGAGUUGUCGGAAGGACCGUUAUUCCUGCUGGGCAGGAGCGAGAGGAGAGACCCUGAAACACACGCCACCUAUCUUUGUGGGGAGGGAUAAUUGAAGAGCACCAAACGUGAGCAUCAUGUGGAAACGUGAUCGGCCAAGUUUCUCUCUGGGAAAGGAUCUGGGAUAGAUUAUACCUUGAAGUCUCCGCGAACGCUUGAGCGGCAGAAAUGCAUAUUUCCACC